AUUCAUUUAGUAAACCCAGAGAAUAUCUCUGUUUGCAUUUAAAUCAGCAUCAAGGAUGGUCAUGCUUCAUUUUGUUUUCUUGUGUGGGUUUAAAUUUUUUAUAUGUAAACUGGACUUAUGUACUAUUUCUUUCAACGAGCAUGUUUUGCUCAAUCAGCUCUUGUUUCUUUUUUGACAUAAAAACUCAAACUAUCCAGUAAGGCCUAAUCAAGCCCUCAAUCACUUUUUUGCACAUUUAUUUCAUAGUUGAUUGGUCAGUGAUGCUUUUACCUACGCAUUUGCGUGAAAGAAAAUUCUAGCUUUCAUGAAACUUUUUCGAAUCAUAAAUAAGACUGAUUCAUAGUAUUUUUUAUGGUAGAUGCCUACAAGGCAGUAGACUAACUAGAUCGAUGCCUCCCGACCUUUCAGUUUUGCAUUACUUUAAUAUGCCAUUUAGAAAUGCUUUUUGGGUGGCAUCUCUUCUUAACGCUUCAUUCGAGAUCACCAGAACUAUUCAAGGACCUGGUGUCCUGCAUCCAUGGAUUAGUUGUUGUAUUGGUCAGUUUGCUUAUUUCCUCUUUCCUUUGUUUCAUUAUGGAUUUUUGGACUUUGGUUGCUUUAGUGCUGUGUGCUGCUACUUGUGUUUUUAAUUGAUCACGAAAUCGCUUACUGAAAUGCAGGCCAUACUAUUGGUUCACGUGCCAUCUAAAUUUAGGACCUUCACGAUUGAAGGCUCUUCUCACUUAAGUAAUUCUUCCUUCUGAAUCCAUUUUUUAAUUUAUUCAUUUAGCAAAUGGCCCAUAGUUUAUGUUUUUUGUUUGUUUGCUUGAAUUCAGUCAAACAAACUGAGAAAGGUGUGGAUCUUAUUGCUUCCUUAUGCCAUAAUUAUCAUACCUCUGAAGAACGUUUGAACUAAAUGAUGGACAAGUCUCACAAGGCAAUAGAAGACGUUUUCAGUAUGAAAGCACAAAGUGCUUCAGAAUUCAAAACAAAGAAUUUGGAUAAGAUAGACACAUGCAUGGAACCCUUCCUCACAUGAAUAAGAAGGGUGUUGUGAGCCAAAAAUGGGAUGCCAUACCAACAGUCAACAGGUAGAUAAAAUGACAAAAAUGAUACAUAAACUAGGCCUCACUUGAAUCCAAGGUAUCUGGCGUAUAUAGGAAUAACUGUAUUUUACCUAUCCUUUCUCUGCAAAAGCUGCUCAAGUGCUUGAAUCAGACUGUGUUUUAUCGAGCAACAGACAAAUCCAUGGGCCACAAUUCCACCUAUUUCUCCACAAGUGCACCACCUUGCCCCUCCAGACCCCAAUUUACUCUCGAAACUUGUUUGUUUUUUCUGUUAAUAUAAUUUGGAAAUUAUCAAACAUUUUGAGGUAAAGGAUGGAGGUAUAAACCUGUGUAAGGAGAAACAUGUGCCUGCAUCCACAUCGAAGUGGGCUCUGUCACUCACCACUCCAGCGCGCGGCAGGCAGCAGCGGGUGGUAUGCUCGGUGGUUCACGGCCGGGCUUGCGGGAGCGGGACUGGACCGCUGCUGCUGUGCCUCCUCCUGUGCUACACCACACUAGCUAUGUGUUUGGCGUUUCAUAUGUAGAGGAGCAGAACCCCACAUGGCCACAUAUGCAUCGAGUGUUUGGUAGUUUGUGAUGACGUUGCUUUUGGGACGGAAUGUUACACGUGUCAUGAUAGUCUGAAGUAUGGUUUCCAUUGACCUUUAAAAUCUUUGUGAUAUACCUUUUUUACAUCUACUGAUGAAUUCCUUGACUUUAAAUUGGUGUUUGUAAGGUGUAUAGCACCAACAGGACAAUGUUUAGUUCAUAUAAUCUUUUAACAGUAUAUUUAGGUUCCAGGAAUUGUCUUUGCAAGAGGGCCCGCGGUUGCUGUGUUGAUUCUUUUGGAGUCGAAUGGAGAAACAUAUGCUGUGCUUACCGAACAGGUUAGAGUUCCUAUUGGAAAAUUCCUGUUGGAGCCGCCUGCUGGGAUGCUAGAUGACGAAAAAGGUGAUUUUGUUGGCACCGCAGUCCAUGAGGUGGAAGAAGAGACCGG